rnacentral:rRNA from 1 species
GAUGAACGCUGGCGGCGUGCCUAAUACAUGCAAGUCGAGCGAACAGAUAAGGAGCUUGCUCCUUUGACGUUAGCGGCGGACGGGUGAGUAACACGUGGAUAACCUACCUAUAAGACUGGGAUAACUUCGGGAAACCGGAGCUAAUACCGGAUAACAUAUUGAACCGCAUGGUUCAAUAGUGAAAGGCGGCUUUGCUGUAACUUAUAGAUGGAUCCGCGCCGUAUUAGCUAGUUGGUAAGGUAACGGCUUACCAAGGCAACGAUACGUAGACGACCUGAGAGGGUGAUCGGCCACCCUGGAACUGAGACACGGUCCAGACUCCUACGGGAGGCAGCAGUAGGGAAUCUUCCGCAAUGGGCGAAAGCCUGACGGAGCAACGCCGCGUGAGUGAUGAAGGUCUUCGGAUCGUAAAACUCUGUUAUCAGGGAAGAACAAAUGUGUAAGUAACUGUGCACAUCUUGACGGUACCUGGUCAGAAAGCCACGGCUAACUACGUG